rnacentral:lncRNA from 1 species
CUGAUAUAAAAACAAUGUUUGAUCAAUGCUGAGAAGUAAGCAAACUUCAUUUUUUGAUAAUAUUUUACUCCAUACAUACUUGAACUGAAAAACCUAACAUGAGGUAUUGUCAAAAUAACAUCGAUCUUAAUCUGGCGAUAAUAGAGAUCAAAAGCAUAUUAGGCAGACAUGCGCUAACAGAUGCAUGAAACUCAUGGGCUGCUAGGUAGAGGUGGUGGUGGUGGUGGAGAUAGUAAAUGUGGUGAUGAUUGCAGCAGCCCAACACGAGGUGGUGGCACAGAAAAUGAACCCGCCUUCCCAUGCAAAGGAGGAGGAGGAGGAGGACUCCCAACUUUAUCUGGGUAUACCUUCUUCUGCUCCAACAAUCGAUUUGAAACAGCGGCCACAAAAUCCGUAUCAGAAGCAGCUUCUAAGGGUCGUGCCAUCGCCACAUAGCUCUUACCUGUGUGACUGAUCUGCAACACCACACUAUGGAUUAAUAUAACUAAAAGCAAGAAAAGGGCAUUCAUUGCAGUCACUUUGCUAUGGCAUUAUGCUUGAUCUUAUGUAUAUAUUAUAUAGAUGGAGAGGUCAAUUAGUUGACUCAUUGCUCGAGAAAUAUCAGAUAUGUUAACAAACCCAAAUCGCACGUCUUUGAAUAAAUAGGACAAACUAGAAAUUUAAAGAAUUCUCACGCCACCGAUUUCCAAUAUUUGACGGCUUUCGACGACUUCAGUGUAGGAAUUUGAAAACAUAUUGUUUGAAGUAGACGUCAUUAAUUGGCCAUAUCAAAAUUGUGUGGUCUAAUAAUUCAUCGCAUGGUUCUUUCGAUGAACACGAAAGAGAUGGUGCACAAAAAUUCCAAGUCAAGCAAAGAAUUAAAUCGCAUGGACUUGGAUGAUACUGCUUCGAAGAAGAAAUUAAAGAGAUGAAAUUAUAUUUUCAUACGUUUCAAAUACUCAAGUCCAAAUAGUAGGAAGAAGAAGUUGCUGAAGAGUUUACAAUUUAUUAUUAUUUAUAUUUACUUAUACAAAAAUUUAUUCAUAAAUUUCUUUUGAUUUUAAUACUCUUUAUAUAUAAAAAAAAAAUAGAAAACUUCAAAAACAAUAUGUGGAAAUCAAAUAGUAAAUUUUCAUCUAAUUAAUUUGGUUGACUUAUAACUAAGGUUUGACUUAAUAAAUAUUAUUAUUAUUAUACAACUAAGCUCGGUGCUUAUUUGAUUUUUUCUGUUGCAAAUAAGAACUUUUGUGGAGUAAAAGAAAGAGGUUUGAUAUUUUGAUAGAAGAAAUACAAUCCAGAUAUAACAAGACCCUUGCUAUUUUCCCUAGAAAUUUUGGCUAUUGACCAGGAAGUAUAGAAUCAUAAUCCUAAUAGUUGAACUCUGAAUAUGGAACUGGAACCAGCUACUGAAUUACCAUAAUAUAUGAUAAAAGGACUUAAAGCUUAAUUUGCCAAGUCAAUAUAUAUAAAAACUCUUAUAUUGUUCUUACUCAAAUUAACUUUAAAUCAUUUACUUUUAAAAUUAGCUAUUAUUAACUCUAGUUAGUCAUAAUUCCCAUUUUAUUUUUUAUUUUUUUCUUUUUGAACUUCUUCAUAAGAAGAAACAUGAGACAUAAAUUUAGCAAUAUUCUUCUUGGAUUAUAUUCUUCCUGAAUUUGGAGAUACUUGAUUUAUUAGUUUGAAUUUGAUAACAACCAUGGUUAUAACUGGUUUUAAUUUCAGUAAGAAAUCUAAAAGAAAUCUACUGGUGGUGGUGAUGCAACAGGUUUAGGUGGUGCCGGGCGGGGAAUAUUCCAACCAAUGUAGCGGGAGGUCUGUGGAAGAGGCCUUCCUAUGAGAUUUCCAAGUCGAUCUGGGUAAGCCUUUAUUUUCUCAGAUGAUCAAUUUGAAGCAACUGAAACAAAGCCCACAUCGGAGAAGGCUCGGAUGGGUCGGGCCAUUGCAACAAAGCUCUUCCCUACUUGACUAGGUUGCAAUACCAUGGAAUAUUAGCAAAAGUAGAAGCAAGAAAGCAGAAGAAGAAUCCAUUUCUAUUGCAAUAUACUCGAUUAUAAAUUAUUACGUAGAGAUAGAGAUGUUUCACAUCGUAUAUGCUAUCUCUAUUUAAUCCAGGACCCAAGACUUCUAAAUGAAUAAGCGCCUUUCAUUCUUUUGGAAUUUGUCAAAACAAAUGGGACAAACUAAAAAAGGAUUCCAGACCACCAACCUUCUGGACCCGAUUUUUUAUUGACUUUUGCUCACAUAUACAGAUGAUGUCAUUUUCUAGCAUGAAGAAAUUAACCGAACUCCAUUAAUUCUGAUAUAUAAAGUACAUUGCACAUGUAUAUCUCUUCCUGGAAGCAGCAUGACCAGGAUGCAUGGGUGAUACUUAAAAGUCUUAAAUAAAAUUUCCAAGUCACUGAAUUGAAAAUAGAUGUAGCUUAUGACAGCUGUGAAGAAGAAUUAGGGCAUACACUCAAAAGUCAAAUAAACCAGUAAAAAAAGGAAGAUGAAGCUUCCUAUCAAGAGUAAGGUUAUGUUUGGUCCAAGCAAGGAAAAAAACAAUUGUUCAAUAAAAUUAUUUUUUCAAUUUGGUUAUAUGAAAAUUUUCAAAAAAAAAACCAAAUAUAAUUCAAAUUAAUUAAAAACUUAUACAUUUUUAAAUUACUUAAUCUUUAUAUUGAUGAGUUAAAAUAAAUAUAAUAAGUUUGAGUUAGUAAAUAAAAGUAAUUUAUCGACUUCAAUUUUAUUUUUUAUUUUUAUUCAUAUUUUUGCUAUCUAUAUUUUUUUUCUUGCAUUUUCUCUCAAAUUUUUCGGGAAGCAAACAUAGCCUAAGAAUUUAUUCAUGAAAUUUUUUUUAAAUACUUAAUUCGUUUUUACAUCAUUUCAGAGGGUUAACAUAUAAAAGCAAACUAUAUUUUAUAAAAUUCAGUAGUUGAGGUUCAACAUGUAAUAUGGUUUUAUAAUGCUCUUUUUUUCAAUGUAUAUUUUAUGAUAUUAGAGUAGUGGCAUUGGUAACUAAUUAUUAAAAGAUACUUCGCAAGAAAUGAGCCAAAUACUCAACACAAAGUAGUCAACAAUAUUAAUUACUUCAGCAACCUUGAUGUAAGGGAAUCCAGCACAUUACAAGGAUUAUUGAAUUUUUCAAUUUUCAAAAUAUAUUUUUUGGAGAAGAAACAAAUAAUGAUAUUUAAUUAUAAGAUCAAUGAUUAUUUGUAACGAAUUUGUUAUUUAGUAGUAGGAUGGAUUUACUGCUGGUUGUGGGUGAGUAUUGAGAUAUUUAAUUCAACAUUCUAUAUAUAUAUGUCACAGUUGCUACAAAUUUUCUAUAAUAGUAAUAAAGCAGAAAUUUUAUUAUUUUUUUAACUUUUUAUUGAAAGUAAUUCUCUCAAAUUUCAAAUUAUUUCUUUUUUCUUUUUUUUUUUAAUUUAUUACUUAUUUCUUAAAUUUUUUUUAUUGAACAGAAAAUAUCAAAAUAUUUGGCUUUUUUUAAUGCUAUAAAUAACACUUGUGCUUUGUUUAUGUUUUUUUUACAAUUUAAUACUUAAUAAAAAUAAAAUAUUAAAAAAAUAAACAAUUUAAUAUUUAAUACUAUUAAACAUUAUUUAGCUUAAAUUCUAUUUAGAAUUAAGUAAAGAAAAACAAACACGGUCUAAGUCUUUUUAUAUUGACAUUUUAGUUAAACUCAAGUGCAAAAAGUGGCUUAUAGCAUAAUGAGUACUUCUUUGAUUGUGUUAAUCACCAAAAAUGUCAAGGUGGAUUUACUCCUUAUAGAUUGCAUAGAACACUUAAUUUUUCCUUUUAUAAAAAGAAGCAAGUAUAAUCUUAAGAAAUUGCAUCAAUGCAAAAAAACAGAUUGGAACUCUAAAAGACUUGUUGCUUUUAUCUCCUUGAUUGCAAGUUCAUUUACAUAUCUUUAGCCUGUGGACACCUUUAGAGCUAAGGAAAUCCUUGGAUUUAUGUCUUGUUACCGUGUGACCAUGAUAUUUUAUUAAUCGUUGUACACGGUGGAUCACAAUGCGUUAAUUGAGCCAUAUUUUGUAAGUAUGGUUUUUUACUUAAGUUAUAAUCACUUUUAGAUUACACUUGAUUCCUUAAUAAAAAGUAAAAUUUAUCUCCUGUUGGCAUUAUUUUGUGAUAUCCAUUAAAGAACUUAUGAGAAAAUAUAUUAUUUAGCAUUUCAUGUUUAAUACAUAAAUCUUUUAUGCUUAGAGAAGACAAUGGGACAGUGUUUUUUUUUUUUUUUUUUUUUUUUUUUUUUUUUUGUGCCCACCCUACCCCAACCCUAAUGGUAUAAGUUUAAAAUUUAAAUAAAUGGGUUUUGGACGGGUUUGAGAUUUUUUUAAAAACUCAAGACGGAUUCGAGACAGGUUUGAGUAUUGUCUUGUUCUACCCCAUUCCACCCGAUUAUAUAUAAAAUUUAAUUUUUAAAGUAAUUUAAUUUAAUUUUUAUUUUCCUACUUUUAAUAUAUAUAUAUAUAUAAUAACAAAAUACUUUUAUAAUAGGUUUUAAUAUUUUAAUUAUUUAUAAAAUAUAUUUAUUUUAAUGUAAUUAAAAAAAUAUUUAAAUUUAAAAAAAAAAAAGUUAAAGAGGACAAGGCAUGUCGGGUAUGGGAAUUUCUCAUACCCACCCCACUCUAUUUAAUUUUUUUUAAUGGGACGGGGAUGGGAAAUAUUUUAACCCAUUCCAAAUCCGUCUCGUUGUCAUCUCUAUUUAUGCUCAUUUGAAUUUAAAGUAAAAUGGAAAAAAAAUAAAAAGAAAAUAUAAGUAAAUAAAAAUUCAAGAGAAAAAAAAAUACAUCUAAACUUCUUGAAUCCUUUUUAUGUUUUUUUUUAAUAAUUUUAUUAUGUUUAUUUUCCCUUCUUAAUUUUCGAGUUAAGCCAAAUCGAAUAAUUUGAAUUUUUACACAAUUCCUUUUUAUAAUUUUUGCUAUGAUCCAAUCGGAGGAGUCUUAGAGAUCCAAAUUUCUCAUGAUUCAAUAACAACAAUGGGUCUCCCAUCUUCAACAACACUAGAAAGGCAACCAACCUUGAUCCUUUGUAGUAGUGGUCACCAUCCUAGAUUUGCUCAUUGACAAUAGCCGGUUCUCGAACGUAGGGACCACAAAUCAUGUGACCAAUGAUUUGAGCAAUCUGAAUCUUAGGUCUGAGUAUCAAGACACAAACAACGUUUACAUGGGUAAUGGUGUAGGUUUGGCAAAAUGGUAGGAAGAUGAAGCUGCAAAGAGUUUAUGUUUAAUUAUAAUUAUUUAUAUUUGAUUAUACAAGAAUAUAUUCAUCAAACAAAUUUUCUUUUGAUUUUUAUACACUUUAUAUAUAAUUUUAAAGGAUUUAUGCUGAUAAAAUAUGAGAUUAAUUCAAUGGUUCAACUGAUCCAAACAAAGCAAAUUUUGGUGCAAUUAGUGCAAUUGAAAAUUUCUUAAGCAAUAAAUGGAAAUCAAAUUAAUAGUAAAUUUCAUCAUCUAAUUGAUUUGGUUGACCUGCAACUAAGGUUUGAUUUAAUGAAUAUAUAUUAUUAUUGUACAAAUAAGCUCUGUGCUUAUUUGAUUUUUCUGAUGCAAAAAGAACUUUUGUAGAGAAAAAGAAAAUUGAGUGAUAGUUUGAUAGAAGAACAGUCCAUAUGUUAUAGGACACUUGCUAUUUACCCUUGAAAUUUAUAUAUAUAUGCAUUCCCCCAUUGAAUGUUCGUUUCUUUGAUGAUCAUCUAAGUAGUUGAUAUCAGUCAAAUAUUUUAUAAAAACACUUGUAUUGUUCUUGCUCAAAUUAACUUUAAAUUAUUUACUUUAAAAUGAAUUAUUAUUAGUGUUAAGUAGCCAUAAUUCUUUUUUUUUCUUUUUCUUUUUUCUUUUUUAUCUUCUUCAUAAAAAUUAAGAAACAUGGCUCAUAAACUCUCAAAACUCAAUUUUGUUAAUUUUUAAUAUUCUUCUUGGAUUAUCUUUUUCUAAGAUUUAGAGAUAUUUGAUUUAUUAUUUGUAUUUGAUGAUGCCAAGGGUUUUUAUCUUUUUUAAUAAUUUGAUUUUAAUUUCAAUAGGAAUCCUUUAUCUAGAAAUGUAGGUUUUUUAAAAUGUGUUUGAGAGUGUUUUUAUUUAAAAUGUUUUUAGUUGAAAUGAUUUUAUAGAAGUGUUUUUUACAGAAUCACCUAUCAAGUGCUUCUUCAAAAAGCACUAUAAGUAAUUUUUUUAACUUUUUAAUCACAAUAGGCUAGAGUUCUUCUCUCGUUGUGGUUGUUGCAUUGCCUCUAAUGUAUUCCUCCUUAUACAUAUUGGGUCUCUUAAGAUGAAAAGCAAUAAAGAUACAACCUAUUCGCAAACUCCCUAUACAGACUUCCCUCCAUGGUGGAAUAUCAUGAGGCUUGACCAAGGAGUUUAUGUGAUUCCCUUUUGUCAUGCAUGGGUGACACUUCACUAUUUGCAUAAAAAAUCAUUAGGUCAUCUCUACAUAUGUUGAAUCUUUUGUGGUAUUUCAUGUUGAUAGAUCAAUGUUCUUCAAUGGUGCUAAGAAUUGCUAGGUUUGACAAUAUAUUAAUGGGUACAUUGUUUUCCCUCAUUAUUUGCUCAAUUUGGAAGUUAUCAAACCACUAGCUUCCAAUUUGGCUUAGGUUAGGUAUGCUUCCAUCCAUUCAUCUUUGGUUUCAUAUUGGGUUAAAACUUGGCAAACCAUGAAUUUAUAAUCAGGAUAGACUUGAAACACUUACGAGCUCUAAGUAGGUGCAUGGUUUCUAACUUAUAAAGAAGGGCCUUAUAUUUAGCUUCAUUAUUGGAUGCUUUGAAACCUCAUGCAAUACUUUUUUCAAUGAUUCCAUAAAUGAAUCCAAUGUUUGCACCCUUCUAACUAGAGGUUUUAUCCGCAUAUAGGAUUAUAUGGAGGUUGUAUACAAUAGAUAGCAAGUCAUAGGCCCAAGUACUUAGUGUCUCAUUUUUAUUUACAUGGGGAUGAAUAGGAGUGUAGUUGACUCAAUGUAGUGGGAUAUUGAGUCAACUUCAAAAUUGGAUUCUAAAGGGGUCAAGACUGUCCUAUGGGUUCUAAUGGUCCUCAUUUGAGCUCAUAUAUCUUGUUGGGACUGUUUAUGAAGGUUGGAUUGACUCUUGGUUCAUUUAUGUACAUAAGGAUGUUUUGGUAAUUUCGCAAGGUUGCAUAAGAGUUAGUGAACGACAUUUUUAGAUUGGCCUAAUUGAUUAAUUAGACAACCUUAUUGGGUUAAUUAAUCAAUUAUAAUCCUUUUUGAGCUAGAUCAAGUGACCUAAGCCUAUGGUGGGCUCAAGUCACUUAAGCCUAGUAAGAAUUUUAUAAAUAGCCCCUUAAGGGUUAAGGUUUCAAGUUUUUUCUUCUGUUCAUUCUUUGAAUUUCAAAUAAGGAUUCCUAGUCUCUACCCUCCAAACUUUCACCAUUUGAAUGCCAAGCUUCAAGGUUGAGUCAUCCGGUGGAAGGACGUGGGUCUACGAGACUUCCAACGACUUCGUUUUGUUCUUCACCAAAAGAAAACAGUUUGGGAAUUCCAUAUCAAUUGUAAGCACACUAAACUUUUUUUCAAAAUCCUAGAAAAAAAUUUUGAUGCAUGUAUUCCAAUAUGCAUAGGAUUUAGAAAAGCCUAGGGAGUUUUACAUGUAUCUAACCUAAUCCUAAGACAAGAAACGGAACAAUCCAAAAUUCUCUUUAAGAUGUUGGAAUGCAAUUAACUCUCUACGGUAGAAUGUUAAAUCAACUUCAAAAUUAGAUUUUGAAUGAGCUUCUAUAUCUUUUAUGGUUCCCAAUAGUUCCUACUAGAGCUCACACUCCUUGAUGGCAUAUUGAGGGAUAUUUGGGUUUCAAUUCAUAUGUGUGCAUCAGAGUAUUUCAAUAAAAAUGUAAGGUUGCACAAGGGCUUAUAAAUUGUCUUUCUACAAUAGGUUAAUUAAUUAAUUGUAGCCUAAUAGGACUAAUUAAUUAAUUACAACCCAGUGAGUUAAAAUAAGCAAUGCAAGCCCGAGAUAGGCUCAAAUCACUGAAACUUACAAGGAGUCUAUAUAAACACUCUUAAGAUUUAGAGUUAGAUAGUCUAGCUUAUUACUGUCUUCUAAAGAGAACCCUAGCCCUUAUCCCUCUAGAGAAAAGUUCUCCCUUCUCCAUUGCUAAGAUCCAAGGAAGAACCAUCAAUUGAAAGAUCUUUAUGUCUUUGAGAUAGUUCUUCAUUGAUUGGAAUAGACGUGGAAACAUCCAAAUCUUAGCUAUGUGAUCUUUAUUGUUUUUUAUAACCUUUAAUAAAGUUUUAAGGGCCUAUCUAUUAAUUUAUACUGCACUUAGGAUCUUAGUUGCAUGCACCCUUAAGAGAUCCAAGGCUUGGAUUAGAUUUAUCCAAGAAUCCAACCAGUAGGCUUUUCCUAUUGUUUUGCAGCUUUUUGCCACAUACUUCCAAAGGUGGUUGGAGGUAUCUAUUUAGCGACAAUUGUUAGAUAAUGACUACUUUAGAGGUCAUCAUCGUAUGUCAAGGCCCUCAUUUUUGGGUUGGGUGAUUUUUUGGACCUUCAAUCCUUGUACCAUCAUUUUGUAUCAUCAACUAGAGCUGGCUAGUUCUCUUUUUCUAGCCUCUGAAUCAAGCUCUUUCACUCCUAAAAUCCUCCAUUCCUUCUUUUUGACCAAUUCCUAAUAUAAUCAGACUAAAUCUCAUGUUCAUGGUAUUGCUCACCCUAUGAUUACUCAAUCCAAGAAAUUGUUAUUUAAGCCUAAGGUCUACUUGACUAUUAAUUUUACCAUUGUGGAGCCUAGCACUAUGCAAGAAGCUUUACAAAUUCAUCAUUAGAUGGAACCUAUGGAAUAAGGGUAUACUGCCUUAAUUAAAAAUAAGAUCUAAUCUCCAAUUCAAAAGUUAAUUGAUAGAAGAAUAGUUUGUUGCAAAUGGGUAUUCAAAAUCAAAAGGAAUCCUAAUGAGACUAUACAACAGUACAAGUCACAAUUGAUGGCUAAAAGAUAUUAGUAAUCUCCUGGUUUUAAUUUCAUUGAGACCUUCGGUCCAAUGGUUAAACUGACAACAAUUCAUGUGGUGCUAAUAACUUUAGAUAGAAAUUGGGAGAUCAAACAAUUGGAUAUAAAUAAUGCACUCUUGAAUGGGAUCCCCCAAGAACUGUAUUUUUGGAUCAAUCUCUUAGGUUUGAACAACAUGAUCAAUACGAACUUCUAGUACACAAGCUACAUAGUACUAUAUGGCUUGAAACAAGUCUCACAAGUUUGGUUUGACAAUCUUAGAUCAUCACUGUAGAACUAAAUCUUAUCUCCUCGAGUUUUCUUUUCAUUCUAUUAUUGUCCUCUUGAAUAAAAACUGCUCUCUUAAGGAUCUUGGAUCCCUUAACUACUUAGAAAUUAAGGUAAAGAAAACAGAAAUUGGAAGUUUACUUCUUUCUCGAGAAAAAAAUAUAACAGAACUCCUACAUAAAGCUCAUAUGGACAUAGAGCAUUUUCCACUUCAAUGAUGCGAACUCUACAGAUUGCUUAUGAUGAUGACUCUAUGAAGAAUCCAACACUACUUAUAGAAGCCAAGAGGAUGCAUGUAGUAUGUAACUAUUACCAAACGCGAGAUUGCCUAAUGUAAACAAGGUAUCUUAAUAUAUGCAACACCCUUCAUAUUGUCAUUGGAAGUCUGUAAAGAGCAUCCUAGGUAUCUGAAAGCGACUAUUGAUUUUGGAAUUCAUUGGCAUCAGAUCCACAUAAUAGAAAAUCUAAUCUGGAUUUUGUAUCUUUCUUAGCAACAAUCCUAUCACCUGGAGCUCAAAGAAGGAAACUACAAUCUCAAGAUCAAGCACUAAGGCUGGAUAUAGAUGUCUAGCUAAUUCUACAGAAAAAAUAGUUUGGCUUCAAUCCUUUAUCAAAGAACUUAGCAUUCUACAAACCAAAGUUCCAAUUCUUUAGUGUGACAAUCUAAUUGUUGUUUCUUUAAGUGCUAAUUUUGUCUAACAUUUAGAACCCAAUGUAUGGAACUUGACUUAUAUUUUGUUCAAGAAAUUAAGAUCCUUGAGAAUUUCUUUUAUCAUAUUGUUGAUAUCUUCACCAAACCACGGUCUACUGCCUAUGUGGUGUCACCCACCAACCACACUCAACUUGAGGGGGCUAUUGGAGAUGAUGCAAGAAGAUAGAAAAGAUGAAACUGAAACUCUGCCCUCUUUGUUAGAGAAGCAAGAGAGAGAAAUUGAAUAUAUAUAUAUAUAUAUGUAUUGUUCAAACAACUCUAUUACAACAGAUGGAGACAGACUGUAAUACCAGCUAGUACAACUAAAAUACAGUUGGUAAAAUAACAAACGAAUAACAAUAAAGCUAACAAAUAACAAGUGGGCUUCAUCUCGUGAGAUCAAUAACUAACUCCUCUUUUCUUGGCUUAUCAUCCCCCCUCAAGUGAAAGGGUCUUAGAGCUAUACAAAGCUGAGAUUUGAGGGACAAGAACCUUGAACUUGUGAGAUGCUUAGUCAAUAAAUCUGUUGGCUGCUCUUUAGUGGGAACAAAGUGCAGUUGUAUCUUUCCUCUCAUGACUUGAUCUCAUAUAAAAUGAAGGUCUAUUUCUAUGUGUUUAGUUCUAGCAUGAAACACAAGGUUCUUUGCCAUAUGGUAAGCACUGAUAUUAUCAUACCAAAGUAGAGAUAUUGCAGAUAUUGGCACACAUAGCUAUUGCAGUAAGACUUGUAUCCAAACAAUCUCAAUCGUAGCGAAAACAAGGCCACGAUACUCAGACUCUACACUAUUGCAAGACACUACUUUUUGUUUGGUAGAGGACCAAGAGACUAAGUUACCUCCUAGAUAAACGAGAUAUCCACUUGAGUUGCCCCUAUCAUCAAGGUGAACACCCCAAUCUGCAUCUGUGAAUCCCUAUAUUGUCAAGUUACUUGAAGGACUUAACAGGAGCCCAUCUUGCAUUGUUCCUCUUAGAUACUGAAGUAUUCGUUUGACUGAGAGCCAGUGAGUUGUGGUUGGGUGUUACAUAAAUUGUCAUGCCUUAUUGACAACAAAGGCUAUAUCAGGUCUUGUCAAGGUAACAUACUGAAGUGCCUCUACUACACUUCGAUAAUGAGUAACAUCUGCCAUAGGAUCUCCAUCAAAUUUAGACAAGUUCUUCCCAACAGCACCAGGUGUUUUUACCGGUUUGGUAUCAAACAUUUCAGUUCUAUGAAGCAGAUCUGAAAUGUAUUUGGUUUGGCUCAAAUGCAUAGAGCCUUCAUUGUAAGAAACCUCUAUACCGAAAAAGAAUGAGAGUUAACCCAAGUCGCGUAAGGCAAAAACUAAAUCAAGUUUAGCUAUGAGAGAAUAAAUCUAUGUGGAGGAGCUACCUGUUUUGAUUAUAUCAUCAACAUAGACAAGAACUAUCAAAGUAGUGGCCUGACCAAAGUGUAGAAACAUAGAACUAUCAGUCCGAGACAUGUUGAAUCCCCACUGAAGAAGAGCAUAGCUGAGUCUUUGAAACCAAGCUCGUGGGACUUGUUUCAAGCCAUAUAAAGCCUUCUUCAAUCUACACACUCUAUUUGGGAAUUGAGUGUCGAAGUAUCCAGGAGGUUGAGACAUAUAGACUUGUUCUUCUAACUCACCAUUGAGGAAGGCAUUGUGAACAUCAAGCUGCCGAAUUUCCCACUUAAAACUGAGAGCAACAGUAAGUAUGAUGCGAAUAGUGGCAACCUUAACUACUGGACUAAAGGUCUCAAAAUAGUCCAGACUAUGAGUCUGAUUAUAUCCUUUUGCCACAAGCCUAGCUUUAUACCUCUCUCUACUCCCAUCUGGCUUAUGUUUCAGUUUAUACACCCACUUAUAGCCAAUCACAUUGACAUCGGGUGGUUGUUCAACAAGAUCCCAAGUAUGGUUUCGAUGAAGAAUAGCAAUCUCCAUUUCCAUAGCUUUAGUCCAGUUUGGAUCUUUGAAGGCCUGUUUAAGAGUAGAUGGUUCUGAAACCUUUAUGGUAGAGAGAUCAAGAAUGGUCUUUUUCUUGGUUAUACCACGCAUGGACCUUGUUGUCAUUCGUGGAGCAGGAGCAGUGACUUGAGGUUCUGGAACAGAUUCAGCUGGCAAAUCUGUAGUAGGAGAUUAACUAGAUGUGUCCAGAGGUGAAGAAGAGUCUAUAGGAAUAGGACUUUCACUUAUGGAUAGAGAAUGAGAAUCUAUGGAAGCAUGAUUGAUAUUUGAAUCUGGGAGAAGACAUGGAGUAGGAAAAUAAGUAGGAACUAUAAUGGCAGGGGUAGAGCCUUCUGUUGAAGUAUCAUUAGACAAAAUGGAAGACUUGGACUGAGCAAGUGGGAAAGUUGAUUCAUCAAAGACCAUGCGGGGAGUAAUAUAGACUCUUCCAGUUGCAUAAUCAAGACAUAAAAACCCCUUGUGAUUCAAACUAUAGCCAUGAAAAAGACAUUGGACAGAUCUGUACUGCAAUUUAUGAGUGUUGUAUGGCCGAAUGAAAGGAUCACAGAGGCAGCCAAACACACGAAGAGAUUUAUAAUCAGGAUGCCUUCUAAAAAGAGUGAAAGAAGGAGAAUCAUACUUGAGAACUUUGCUUGACAUUUGAUUGAUAAGAAAAGUUGUUGUCUGAAAAGCGUAGUGCCAGUACUUCAUUGGCAAGGAAGCAUGAGAUAACAAAGCUAACCCAGUCUCAACUACGUGUCUGUGCUUCCGCUCAACUCUACCAUUUUGAGCUGAGUUGUAUGGACAGGAGAAUCGAUGGGCAAUACCAACUGCUUGAAGAAAAGACAUAAAAGAUCGAAAUUCUCCACCAUUAUCAGACUGUAAGUACUUAAUUUUCAUGUCAAAUUGAUUCUCCAUUUGAAGCUUGAAUCGCUUAAAGAUGGGAAGGGCCUGAUCCUUUGUUUGUAAUGAAUAAAACCAAGUGUACCUGGAAUAAUCAUCUACAAAAAGAAUGAAAUAUUUCGCUCCAGAUGUAGAUUUAACUAAGGCAGGUCCCCAAAUACCCGUAUAAACAAGUUCUAAAGGUUUAGAUGCACGAAAAUUUGAGAGUUGAGUGGGUAGUCUAUGACUUUUAGCUAACUGACAAUCAAAACAAAUAGUAGAUUUAUAUUUCCCAGAAGCAACAUUACAAGUAUUCAUGACUUUUGAAACAAUGUCAGGAGCAACAUGGCAUAGUCUAUUAUGCCAUAACUCUACUUUAUUUUCAACAGUACUAGAAAAAUGGGAAUGAAAAGCAGAAGCAUUAUUAAUACUACUGCAAGGUUUCUUGUUGCUGAACACAGGAAACUUGUAAAGCCCAUUUUCAAGCUUACCUUGAGCAAGAACCAUCUUCGUAUGUCAAUCCUUCACAAAGAAAGCAUUAGAAUGAAACUCAAUCAAGGCAUUAUUAUCUGAGUAGAACUUAGCCACACUAAUCAAAUUAGUUGAGAUAAAGAGGACAUGAAACACAUUCUUGAGUUGAAAAGAAUGUGUAUGAGAAUGAAGUUGUUUAGAGCCAAUAUUGGAGAUGGAGAGAUGCUUACCAUUACCAAUAGUGACUCUAUCUGUUCAUGUGUAUGGUGAAGUACUGGUUAGAUUUCCCAAAUUCUGAGUCAGAUGGUGACUUGCUCCAGAAUCCAAAUACCAACUCUCAUCUGUAGGACUAUUAAAAGAAGAAGCAACCAUAGCAGGUAUAUUGUUUUGAUUCCCAUUAUUCAAAGAAUGAGAAGUAGUCGUCUGACCACCUUGAAAAGAGAUAUCAAACCUAUGAUAACAUAUCUGAGCAGUGUGGCCAAACUUACCACAUAACUGACAUUGAGGUUUCUCACUUGGACUGGAAUUUUUCCUUCCACCUUGUCCAUUUCUACCUCCACGUCCACAACCUCUGUAGGUGUAAUUAUUGUUAUUUGGAGCAUAGCCUUGUCCACGACCUCCAUUAAACUUCCUUCCACCACCUAUGUUAUUAGAGGAAGAGGCAUAAUUGGCAGACAUUUGUUCAAUAGAGCUUUGUUGCUCAAGAUGAUGCUCAAAGGCUAAUAGCGUACUAUGUAUAGCUUCAAAAGAGAUCUUAUCAUCUCUAAUGUUGAUAGCAGUAACAACGACAUUGUAGUCGGAUCCAAGACCUCUAAGAAGAUUCAUAACCUGAUCUUGUUUUGAGACAGGUUCUCCAAUAGCAACUAGAUUAUCAGCAGCUCCUUUGAUCUUCAUUAUGUAGUCUAUCAUUUACAUUGAUCCUUUCUUUGUGGAUUGUAAUUCGAGUCUGAGUUGCAUUAUCCUAGCUCCUGAAGAAGGUGAAAAAAAUACUUUCCAAGGCAUUCCUAGCAGAGUGAGAAGUAUUAUGGCCUAUGAUCUGUGCCAUGAUACUUGGUGUGAGCAACGAGUACAUCCAGCUGAGGAUUGUUCAAUCUUGUCUCCUCCAAGCAACAAAAGCUGGAUUGAUCACUCCUGGACUCGGAUCUUUCUCCGGACAGAUAGAGGUUCCAUCAAUGAAAUCCUCAAAGCCAUUAGCAAAAACAACAUUAUCAAUAUGAGAUCUCCACAGGAUGUAAUUCGUCCGAUCAAGUUUCACAGGCAGAGUGUGAUUAAGCAUCUGAUAAGAAGGAAUGGAUGCCAUUGUUGAGCUUUUUCCAGAUCCAAUCGAACCAGAGGAAGAAGAAGAUUGUGUUGAAGUAGAGGCCAUGUUUGGAUCGAGAGAAACAGAGAGAAAGUGAGAAAGAGAAGAAAAAUUCACACCUUGAACGUGAGCUCUGAUACCAAGACAGAAAAGAUGAACUAAAACUCUGCUCUCUUUGUUAGAGAAGCAAGAGAGAGAAAUUGAAUAUAUAUAUUGUUCAAAGAACUCUAUUACAAUAGAUGGAGACAGACUGUAAUACCAGCUGGUACAACUAAAUUAAUACAGUUGGUAAAAUAACAUACCAAUAACAAUAAAGCUAACAAAUAACAAGUGGGCUUCAUCUCAUGAGAUCAGUAACUAACUCCGCUUUUCUUGGCUUAUCACAAGAUUUGCUCCAUAACCGAAGAAAAAUUAGUCGUUGUCUAUUCUAGAAUAUUCAAUGCAGCAGAAUUGUAUAGGGAUUGCAACAUCAUAAAAACAAUGUUUGAUCAAUGCUGAGAAGUAAGCAAACUUCAUUUUUUGAUAAUAUUUUACUCCAUACAUACUUGAACUGAAAACCUAACAUGAGGUAUUGUCAAAAUAACAUCGAUCUUAAUCUGGCGAUAAUAAAGAUUAAAAGCAUAUGAGGCAGACAUGCGCUAACAGAUGCAUGAAACUCAUGGGCUGCUAGGUAGAGGUGGUGGUGGUGGUGGUGGAGAUAGUGAAUGUGGUGAUGAUUGCAGUAGCCCAACAUGAGGUGGUGAGGGAGGAGGCACAUAAAAUUGAUGCGGCUUCCCAGGCUGAGGAGGAGGCUUCCACAUGGGACUCCCAACUCGAUCUGGGUAUACCUUCAUUUGCUUCAACAAUCGAUUUGAAGCAGCGGGCACAAAAUCCAUAUCAGAAGCAGCUUCUAAGGGUCGUGCCAUCGCCACGUAGCUCUUACCUGUGUGACUGAUCUGCAACACCACACUAUGAAUUAAUAUAACUAAAAGCAAGAAAAGAGCAUUCAUUGCAGUCACUUUGCUAUGGCAUUAUGCUUGAUCUUAUGUAUAUAUUAUAUAGAUGGAGAGGUCAAUUAGUUGACUCAUUGCUCGAGAAAUAUCAGAUAUGUUACCAA